AAUGAACGCUGGCGGCGCGCCUAAUACAUGCAAGUCGAGCGAGAAGACGUAGCAAUACGUUUGUAAAGCGGCGAACGGGUGAGGAAUACAUGGGUAACCUACCCUCGAGUGGGGAAUAACUAGCCGAAAGGUUAGCUAAUACCGCGUACGCUCCUUGGACUUCGGUUCAGGGAGGAAAGCGAUACCGUGGGUAUCGCGCUCUUGGUUGGGCUCAUGUCCUAUCAGCUUGUUGGUGAGGAACGGCUCACCAAGGCUUCGACGGGUAGCUGGUCUGAGAGGACGAUCAGCCACACUGGCACUGCGACACGGGCCAGACUCCUACGGGGAGGCAGCAGUAAGGAAUAUUGCGCAAUGGGCGAAAGCCUGACGCAGCGACGCCGCGUGGGGGAGU
rnacentral:rRNA from 1 species